rnacentral:rRNA from 1 species
CCUACGGGAGGCAGCAGUGAGGAAUAUUCGUCAAUGGACGCAAGUCUGAACCAGCAAUGCCGCGUGCAGGAAGACGGCUCUAUGAGUUUUAAACUGCUUUUGUACGAGGGUAAACGCAGAUACGCGUAUCUGUCUGAAUGUAUCGUACGAAUAAGGAUCGGCUAACUCCGUUCCAGCAGCCGCGGUAAUACGGAGGAUUCAAGCGUUAUCCGGAUUUCUUGGGUUGAAAGGGUGCUUAGGCGGUCGGAUAAGUUAGAGGUGAAAUCCAGGGGUUCAACUUCGGAAUUGCCUCUGAUACUGUUCGGCUAGAGAGUAGUUGCGGUAGGCGGAAUGUAUGGUGUAGCGGUGAAAUGCUUAGAGAUCAUACAGAACACCGAUUGCGAAGGCAGCUUACCAAGCUACUUCUGACGUUGAGGCACGAAAGCGUGGGGAGCAAACAGGAUUAGAUACCCGAGUAGUC